GCCGGGAUGGCGCAAUUGGUAGCGCAACUGAUUUGUAAUCAGUAGGUUACGGGUUCGAGUCCCGUUUCCGGCUCCA
rnacentral:tRNA from 38 species